rnacentral:lncRNA from 1 species
AACAUGCCGCAGCUUCUGCCCACCACCAUGUAUGAGACAUGGAAAUCUAGGAAGCUGCAGGUUUGUGCGACAGUCAUGCUCACGAUGUGUUUUCUGAAAUGCUUUCAUGUAGAUUGAUGUUUAUAUAUUAUAAGCAUUUGUAAAAUGUUCAAGUACAAUGCAGUAUGCAACAAUAAAUCACAUCUCCCAGCAAUGGCUACGUACCAUUACUCUUAUCACCUUAGACUAAGUUGUAUGAAUUAGAUGGCUGAGCACUUAUGUUUUUGUAGUAGGUUCUGUGUCCUUCGCGCACAUAAAAUUCAGAGAUAAAUUUGGUAGAUGGAUGAUUGACUUUGUUCGUGUGGAUUAUCAGUUUACCAGCAAUGAUGGACUUUGUUUACGUAUAGUACCAAUUUAGCAGCAACUCUGCUGUAACUUUGGCAACACAACCAACAUCAAGUGUCACACCGGUAGUCUAGGGUCAGUUCAAAAUUCGAAUUAGAGAUAGUUUGAUCUACGUGUAGUUCAUCGUCCAUUUCUAAAUCACCAAGGAUUGAUUUUAUUGACACAAGAUUCUCUAUCUGUUGUUUUCUAUUAGGUAAAAACAGUUAUUGGCUCCUCUUGUAAUCUACAAUAAGUAUCCCUUUUGACACUCAUUUAAAUAGAAUUUUUUAUUAUUACUGUGGAAGCAGAAACACACUUGAGAAGGAUUUCAUUUAGUAUGUACUUUGAGUUUUCAUAGUCUAUUAUUGACAUGGAUUUUCCUUCUGCUAGAGAGGCUGGUGCCAAAUCUACAUCAAAACAACGGCAAGUUGACAAAAGAGGAUGCUAGAGUUGUACUGUUACUACUGUUAGAUCUGUUUUUGCACUUCUGAAUUUUAUUUGAGAAUGAAUCUCGAAGGUAUAACUUCUGCAAAGUGCUAGCGCCCACCUACAGAUGACAAGAUUUUCUUCUUCUAAAUGUAAUGAGGCAUGAGCCACAAACUCUUCAUAAAACUUUGAAGCAAAAUAUUGAUCCCCUGCAUGCAUAUAUGAUUGCGAACCAAUU